GACGAACGCUGGCGGCGCGCCUAACACAUGCAAGUCGAACGAGCGAGAGGAGGUUUACUUUCUCAAGCGAGUGGCGAACGGGUGAGUAACGCGUGAGGAACCUGCCUCAAAGAGGGGGACAACAGUUGGAAACGACUGCUAAUACCGCAUAAGCCCACGCCCCGGCAUCGGGUCGAGGGAAAAGGAGCAAUCCGCUUUGAGAUGGCCUCGCGUCCGAUUAGCUAGUUGGUGAGGUAAUGGCCCACCAAGGCGACGAUCGGUAGUCGGACUGAGAGGUUGAACGGCCACAUUGGGACUGAGACACGGCCCAGACUCCUACGGGAAGCGGCAGUGGGGAAUAUUGCACAAUGGGGGAAACCCUGAUGCAGCGACGCCGCGUGGAGGAAGAAGGUCUUCGGAUUGUAAACUCCUGUUGUUGAGGAAGAUAAUGACGGUACUCAACAAGGAAGUGACGGCUAACUACGUG
rnacentral:rRNA from 1 species